CAGGCUUAACACAUGCAAGUCGAGGGGCAGCAUGGUCUUAGCUUGCUAAGGCCGAUGGCGACCGGCGCACGGGUGAGUAACACGUAUCCAACCUGCCGUCUACUCUUGGACAGCCUUCUGAAAGGAAGAUUAAUACAAGAUGGCAUCAUGAGUCCGCAUGUUCACAUGAUUAAAGGUAUUCCGGUAGACGAUGGGGAUGCGUUCCAUUAGAUAGUAGGCGGGGUAACGGCCCACCUAGUCUUCGAUGGAUAGGGGUUCUGAGAGGAAGGUCCCCCACAUUGGAACUGAGACACGGUCCAAACUCCUACGGGAGGCAGCAGUGAGGAAUAUUGGUCAAUGGGCGAGAGCCUGAACCAGCCAAGUAGCGUGAAGGAUGACUGCCCUAUGGGUUGUAAACUUCUUUUAUAAAGGAAUAAAGUCGGGUAUGGAUACCCGUUUGCAUGUACUUUAUGAAUAAGGAUCGGCUAACUCCGUGCCAGCAGCCGCGGUAAUACGGAGGAUCCGAGCGUUAUCCGUAUUUAUUGGGUUUAAAGGGAGCGUAGAUGGAUGUUUAAGUCAGUUGUGAAAGUUUGCGGCUCAACCGUAAAAUUGCAGUUGAUACUGGAUAUCUUGAGUGCAGUUGAGGCAGGCGGAAUUCGUGGUGUAGCGGUGAAAUGCUUAGAUAUCACGAAGAACUCCGAUUGCGAAGGCAGCCUGCUAAGCUGCAACUGACAUUGAGGCUCGAAAGUGUGGGUAUCAAACAGGAUUAGAUACCCUGGUAGUCCACACGGUAAACGAUGAAUACUCGCUGUUUGCGAUAUACAGCAAGCGGCCAAGCGAAAGCGUUAAGUAUUCCACCUGGGGAGUACGCCGGCAACGGUGAAACUCAAAGGAAUUGACGGGGGCCCGCACAAGCGGAGGAACAUGUGGUUUAAUUCGAUGAUACGCGAGGAACCUUACCCGGGCUUAAAUUGCAGAUGAAUUACGGUGAAAGCCGUAAGCCGCAAGGCAUCUGUGAAGGUGCUGCAUGGUUGUCGUCAGCUCGUGCCGUGAGGUGUCGGCUUAAGUGCCAUAACGAGCGCAACCCUUGUUGUCAGUUACUAACAGGUUCCGCUGAGGACUCUGACAAGACUGCCAUCGUAAGAUGUGAGGAAGGUGGGGAUGACGUCAAAUCAGCACGGCCCUUACGUCCGGGGCUACACACGUGUUACAAUGGGGGGUACAGAGGGCCGCUACCACGCGAGUGGAUGCCAAUCCCAAAAACCUCUCUCAGUUCGGACUGGAGUCUGCAACCCGACUCCACGAAGCUGGAUUCGCUAGUAAUCGCGCAUCAGCCACGGCGCGGUGAAUACGUUCCCGGGCCUUGUACACACCGCCCGUCAAGCCAUGGGAGCCGGGGGUACCUGAAGUGCGUAACCGCGAGGAGCGCCCUAGGGUAAAACUGGUGACUGGGG
rnacentral:rRNA from 1 species